AAAAGAAAACUGCUCCACGACUAUUUCUAUCUCUUUUAAUGAAGUCUUCAACUCCUCUUAUACGAAUGCUCCGUCUAUUAUAUAAGUUUAUGUUCUAUGUGCAGUGACCAUGUUUAUGCGCAAAACGUAAAACAAUGUAACAGUUUUAAUGACUCAGAAUGCAUAUGGGCUAACCGGUCUAAUAGCGCACCAAAUCAAAUGAAACAUGUAACGACAAGAAACGAAUCGUUUCAGUCUUUUUUUUUUCAGUGUUUAUUCAGUGGGUCAUAGCAAUAUGACUUUAGUAUGGAAUUAUUUUUCUAAAAUAUCGGGAAACAAAAAAAUUGUGAAGUGCAAUUUGUGUUCAAAAGAAAUAAAGUCUUCUGGGACAACCUCUAACCUGUUGACUCACUUAAAAUGCAAGCAUUUAUUUGCAUUCAAAACAUGCUUGACAAAGAAAAUCCUAGACAAGCAAAACUCGUUUAUGCAAAAUGAUAGUAAUAAUAUAAUUAUUAUGAACGACACAAAUGAUAAAGAACAAUCCAGUAGUAGCAGCAGAUAUAACAAAUAGAUCACACAACUCUCUCACCACUAAAACUUCUACAGCGAGUCCUGUGUCUGCAUACAGCCCACAGUAUUGGAGAUUAUUAAUAAAAAGAAGAGUUUUGAAAGCGGAGGAUCAAAAAACACCAUAAUUACCGAAGCUUUAAUUCAUAUGAUUUGUCGAGAUAAUAUGCUCACCAAAACUGUAGAAAGAGAAGGUUUUAUUCACUUAUUCAAGAUAAUUUGUCCAAAGUAUAAACUGCCUUCCAGGUCAACUUUAACAAUUCUUAUUGAACAAAAAUAUGAAAAAUUUAAAUUAGAACUCAAAGAAUACUUAGAACAAGUCCCUUAUAUAUCUUUAACGUCAGACAUUUGCACAAUCGCAAAUUCAACUAGAAGCUUUCUCGUGAUAACUAGUUAUUUUAUCAAUUCAAAAACGUCCAUUCUUGAGUCUGCUUGUUUGGGAGCAAUCCAUUUAACUGAAAAACACACGGCAGAAAAUAUAGUCAUGGAAGAAUUGUUUUCACAUUUACCAAAAUAGAUUCGAUGUUUUGCGCAUAUAACUAAUUUAGUCGUUCAAAAUUCUUUAAAAAGUACAAUUGAGCUCGGAAAAAUAAUUACGCAAACAUAUUGUAACAUAUUUCAAACACAGUACAAUUGCAUCAGAUGCACUCAGAGCAGGACAACUAAACCGUGGGAAAAGUGAAGGUGAUACAUUGUAUCUCACGCAAGAUGUUUUCACUCGGUAGAAUUAUUACUCUCGAAAUGCUAGAAAAAUUUGAAAAGCUAGCGCCCAUUUUAGCAACAAUUUUGGCAACUAAAGAUCAUAAAGAUGGUCCUCAAAUGUUGGCAGGAUCGAACAUUGAAAUAAUAUCUGAAAUAAUUUCUCUUCUAAGGCCUUUUAAAGAAGCAACUGCUUAUAUAUCAGCUGAUAAAUAUGUUACUGCCAGUACCGUUUUACCAUUGUGCCAUAAUGUGCGAGAUACAUUGACUGAAUUAAAGCCUACUACUUGUCUUGCAAUAGAAUUNAAACGUAAUCUACUGAAGGAAAUUGAAACAAGAUAUAUGCCUCUCGAAAAAAAUAAGCUACUUUGUAUUGCAACUCUUCUCGAUCCCAGAUUUAAAAGAGCAUAUGUUUUUUCUCCUCUGCUUCAGACAGAAGCUAUAUCGCAGAUAUGCCAAGAGAUUAUAGGAAUAUAACAAAGCAGCGAGACCUCUCUUUACUGCAAGAAAAGAACUCAUCUAAUGUAACCGAAGAGAUAGAGUCAAUCUCUAUUUGGGCGAAGCAUUUAAAAAGAAUAAAAAGAAAUACAGAUAGAGAUGAAUUAUUUACUAGUCAAAUGCCACUUGAAUUAAAAUUAUAUUUUAAUUCAGAAGUGCUAUCAUUAUCGGAAGAUCCUAUUACAUAUUGGCAGAGCUGAAAACAUGGACUCCUCUACUCACAGAAAUUGCCUUAAAAUAUUCUAUAAUGAUGGGAUCUUCAGUUGCUUCAGAAAGAAUUGUUUCGGCUCUUAAUAACGUGGUUACCGAUAAACGAAGUUGAUAAACAAGUCGUCAUAUAAAUGAGGCUGUUUUUCUUACUUACGCUACAAAAAACAUGAUUGACUAAUACAAAUAGUUCCUACUUUAUUAUUUACUUUGUAAUUAUUAGUUUCUAAUUAGUAUCAGUAUAUUCCGAAUCUUGAAAAUCUUAACAUUUUUUUAUGUUUUUAUUCUGUGAUCUUAUGUUUAUAUAAGUUGAACAUUUUUUAUGUACUUAUGUGCGUGAACAUAGGUUAAUAUAUUGAAUAUAAUCUAAUACAUUAUAAAGAUUAAAGUUUAUUAUGUAUAUAUUUAAAAUUAAAGAGAUAUUAAUACUUUCACAUUUAAUUUGUAAAGAUUAAGUUCUUUCAUUCAUAAUCUGAUUUGUUAUUCUUCUGAAUAUAUUUUUAUCUACCAUCAC